rnacentral:rRNA from 1 species
UACGUAGGGUGCAAGCGUUAAUCGGAAUUACUGGGCGUAAAGCGUGCGCAGGCGGUGAUGUAAGACAGGUGUGAAAUCCCCGGGCUUAACCUGGGAACUGCAUUUGUGACUGCAUCGCUGGAGUGCGGCAGAGGGGGAUGGAAUUCCGCGUGUAGCAGUGAAAUGUGUAGAUAUGCGGAGGAACACCGAUGGCGAAGGCAAUCCCCUGGGCCUGCACUGACGCUCAUGCACGAAAGCGUGGGGAGCAAACAGG